rnacentral:rRNA from 1 species
UACGGAGGGGGCUAGCGUUGUUCGGAAUUACUGGGCGUAAAGCGCGCGUAGGCGGCUUUGCAAGUCAGAGGUGAAAGCCUGGAGCUCAACUCCAGAACUGCCUUUGAAACUGCAUCGCUAGAAUCAUGGAGAGGUUAGUGGAAUUCCGAGUGUAGAGGUGAAAUUCGUAGAUAUUCGGAAGAACACCAGUGGCGAAGGCGGGACUCUGGGCCGAUACUGACGCUGAGGAGCGAAAGCGUGGGGAGCAAACAGG